rnacentral:rRNA from 1 species
CCCUUAGAUGUUCUGGGCCGCACGCGCGCUACACUGAUGCGUUCAACAAGUUUCCUUGGCCGAGAGGCCUGGGCAAUCUUCUUAAUAUGUAUCGUGAUAGGGAUAGAUUAUUGCAAUUAUUAACCUUGAACGAGGAAUUCCUAGUAAACGCAGAUCAUCAAUCUGCAUUGAUUACGUCCCUGCCCUUUGUACACACCGCCCGUCGCACCUACCGAUUGGAUGUUCCGGUGAAGCCUCGGGAUGAGGACUGGUGCCUUUAUUGGCAUGAGUUGUUCAGAACUUGUCUAAACCUUAUCAUCUAGAGGAAGGUGAAGUCGUAACA